AUGAUCAAUGUUAGAGAGAAUGAUACAAAAAUCAUCGCCGAAGGAGCAAGCAUUACGCGAAUCUCUCAGGCAAAAGGAUAACAUUGGGACG
rnacentral:ncRNA from 2 species